rnacentral:rRNA from 1 species
CAGUCGCCGCGGGAAUACGUAGGGUGCGAGCGUUAAUCGGAAUUACUGGGCGUAAAGCGUGCGCAGGCGGUUAUAUAAGACAGAUGUGGAAUCCCCGGGCUCAACCUGGGACCUGCAUUUGUGACUGUAUAGCUAGAGUACGGUAGAGGGGGAUGGAAUUCCGCGUGUAGCAGUGAAAUGCGUAGAUAUGCGGAGGAACACCGAUGGCGAAGGCAAUCCCCUGGACCUGUACUGACGCUCAUGCACGAAAGCGUGGGGAGCAAACAGGAUUAGAUACCCCAGUAGUCCCUGUCUCUUAUAC